UUAAUAUGUGUACUAUAGUGCUGUCGUUAAACAAAAACAAAAACACGCAACACACAGUUACUAGUUGGUGCUCAACACCAGUGGAGAAUGACACAGAUAAACAACUUCCGGGUUAGUUGUCAAAAUGGUUUGCGUUCCAUGCAUCGUAAUUCCUUUUUUAUUGUGGUUCUUCCAUCGAUAUUGUAAACCAUGGAUUGCAAAAAUGUUUCCAUCAUGGUUUCCACAAAAGGUUGAAGAAGAGAAAUCGCCUGAUUUAUCAGCAGGGGACACAAAGAUCCUGGAAGGGGAAAACCAAAAGGUGGCACAGAAUGGAGUGGCAAAUGGUGUUUGUAACGGUCAAACAGUAACAGCAGGUGAUGAUUCUAAAAAAGACAAAUAGUGAAUAGCCAAAAACACCUCUUGUUCCGGUAUGGAACACGUAUGAAUCAAGAAUUGCGAUACAGAUGAACAGCAAGACUGCAAGGAGUUUACUACCAUGAAGCCUAUUCAGAUUUUUAUUUAUCAUUGUAGACAAAAUUAAUGUAUAUAAAUUAAUACUAGGGAAGAUGUGAAAAAUCUUGCUCCUUUUUUUUUCUCAUUUAAAUUAAGGAUUGACAUAAAAUGAAUAAUCAAGCUUAUGGUUAAGCUUUUAAAAACUACUUUAUCGUAAACAUACAUGUAUUGUGCAAUAGGUGUUUUGUUAAUUUUACAAAAAAGAUUUAUUUGAUUUGUAUUAUAAAUCAUAAUGAUGUAUGUAUAAUUAAGAGAAAAUGACUAUGCAUCUUCAGCAAAUAAGCAAAAGACGUUGAAACACCUAAACUUAUAAUAAAUAGGAAUAGGAUUGGAGAAAACAUAUUUCAGGCAAUAUAUGAUAAUUAUAUAUUUAAGUCUCAUGCUACAAUCAUUUGCUGGCAUUCUGGUGUCUGGGGGGAGGGGGGAGCACUGGCUAUGCCCCUCCCCACAUCAAACUUCUUUUUUUUAACUAUUAAAUUUUAUAAAAUCAUCCAUACAUAGUGUAUGUGUUGGUGCCCCAAUAUAAAAUGAUGCUUAGGGGUUUGGGUUUUUUUUUUUUUAAUUCUGAAUGUCCUGUCUCAGCCUUGUACAAGUAUAUGUAUCCUGUUUUUUUUAAUGUUUCUUUUUUUUAAUUUACCAAUAAUUCUUCUAUUUUUUGUAUUAAAACAUUGAAAUUAAUUUAUUCUGAGCUUUUGUAUUAUAAAAAAAUAAGUGGAUGACUUGCUCCAUAUUUUGUAAAAUGGGUGACAUUUCAGAUUUUGGGCUCAAGUUUCCAUUUAGUGUUCUCUCUAGUUAUUCUACACUUAAUGAGAUAUUCUUCUUUGUGGAUAACAAAUAUGAUCAACAUUGAACAUUUAGCAUUCUGUCAAAUUGUAAGUUGAUAAAUAAAUGUUAAAAUCCAA